GCGGAUGUAGCUCAGUGGUAGAGCGGCGGUCUCCAAAACCGUUGGCGCGGGUUCGAUUCCUGCCAUUCGUGC
rnacentral:tRNA from 1 species